AACGCUGGCGGCGUGCUUAACACCAUGCAAGUCGAAACGGGGUCCAUGGAGUAGCAAUACUCCGGAAGACCUAGUGGCGAACGGGUGCGUAACACGUGAGAAACCAACCCCGGUCUCUGGGAUAACAGGUGGAAACACCUGGCUAAUACCGGAUGCCGUCGUGUCCUCGCAUGGGGAGAUGACGAAAGGGCUACCGGAUCGGGACGGUCUCGCGGCCUAUCAGCUUGUUGGAGAGGUAACGGCUCACCAAGGCAUCGACGGGUAGCUGGUCUGAGAGGAUGAUCAGCCACACUGGGACUGAGACACGGCCCAGACUCCUACGGGAGGCAGCAGUGGGGAAUCUUGCGCAAUGGGCGAAAGCCUGACGCAGCAACGCCGCGUGCGGGAUGAAGGCCUUCGGGUUGUAAACCGCUUUUACCAGGAAGGAAAAUGACAGUACCUGGAGAAUAAGGUGCGGCAACUACGUGCCAGCAGCCGCGGUGACACGUAGGCACCAAGGCGUUGUCCGGGAUUUUAUUGGGGCGUUAAAGAGCUCGUAGCAGGUUUCAGAAAGUCCGGGUGUGAAAACUCUGGGCUUAACCCAGAGACGCCACCCGAUACUGCUGUGACUUGAGUCCGGUAAGGGGAGUGGGGAAUUCCUGGUGUACGGUGAAAUGCGCAGAUAUCCGGAGGAACACCCAUUGUGCGAAGGCACCACUCUGGGCCGAGACUGACGCUGGGAGCGCAAAGCGUUGGGUAGCAAACACGAAUUAUGAUACCCUGAGUAGCCCACGCCGGAAACGGCGGCCACAAGUGUGGGUUCCAACCAACGGGAACACGCGACCGCCUAAAACCACUUACUUGCCCGUGGUAUACGGCCGCAGGGUUA
rnacentral:rRNA from 1 species